rnacentral:rRNA from 1 species
UACGUGAGGGGCUAGCGUUGUCCGGAUUUAUUGGGCGUAAAGAGCGUGUAGGCGGCUAGGUAGGUCCGUUGUGAAAACUCGAGGCUCAACCUCCGAGACGCCGGUGGAAACCAUCUAGCUAGAGUCCGGAAGAGGAGAGUCGGAAUUCCCGGUGAUGAGCGGUGAAAUGCGCAGAUAUCGGGAAGAACACCCGUGGCGAAGGCGGCUACUCUGGAACGCAACGUGACGCUGAGACGCGAAAGCGAUGGGGAGCAAAGCAGGG